UUAGCGUAUGACACCAUAACUCUAUCUUGUCUUAGAUCGUUACUAUAAUCUCUUAAAGUUAAUUAAUUAAAUAUAAACUACUUUGAAUUUACGUUAUAUAUACGAACAUAUAAGGAUGAAAGAUUCUCGUCACUAUUGCCUUGGCAUUGGCAGCACCAUCACCAGGAGUUCACUUCUCAGUGCACUCAGCACCACUUGUACACAGCCCAGUGAUCCACCAUCCGUAUGUGCAUCCAGUCCCAAUAGUGCACAGCGUUCCAGUACACACAUACCACCGUGUACAUACAGUGCCGAUCGUACACAGCCCUGUGGUACAUUAUAAAGUAAAAUCUCUUUAUCAUGUUCAUGGCUAAUAAAUAUAUUUAUUAAUUAU